rnacentral:rRNA from 1 species
GAUGAACGCUGGCGGCGUGCCUAAUACAUGCAAGUCGAGCGAACGGACGAGAAGCUUGCUUUUCUGAUGUUAGCGGCGGACGGGUGAGUAACACGUGGAUAACCUACCUAUAAGACUGGGAUAACUUCGGGAAACCGGAGCUAAUACCGGAUAAUAUUUUGAACCGCAUGGUUCAAAAGUGAAAGACGGUCUUGCUGUCACUUAUAGAUGGAUCCGCGCUGCAUUAGCUAGUUGGUAAGGUAACGGCUUACCAAGGCAACGAUGCAUAGCCGACCUAAGAGGGUGAUCGGCCACACUGGAACUGAGACACGGUCCAGACUCCUACGGGAGGCAGCAGUAGGGAAUCUUCCGCAAUGGGCGAAAGCCUGACGGAGCAACGCCGCGUGAGUGAUGAAGGUCUUCGGAUCGUAAAACUCUGUUAUUAGGGAAGAACAUAUGUGUAAGUAACUGUGCACAUCUGGACGGUACCUAAUCAGAAAGCCACGGCUAACUACGU